ACAUCCUUCAUUAUCUCUCCACUUAAGAUACACUAGCCCAGCUCUAUAGUGCGUUAACGCACCAGCAACUACCAGUACACUUAAGAUACAACUGAUGGCUAUGUCCUGCUAUGUCGAAUUUACCCGGCAUCCAUCUCUCUGGGAUCCUAGUUGCAUAAACCAGAGCUUGAUUUCAUAAAUUGAGCAGAUGAGCUUUUGGAGGCCGAGCUUUUUGUUUUCACAGCGAUGGGUUUACAUUGGUUUUGAAAUUCAAAUUGAUCUCGGUUCGGUUUAAUUUGGUUUAGAGAAGAAAACCAAAAAAAAUACGACACGCGAUGGGUUUUUGAGAAUGAGGUGCGUGGAUCCAAAAAUGCAUGAUUUUUGUGGACCCCUUUAGAAAUCGUAGAC